rnacentral:rRNA from 1 species
CGCGUAGGCGGUGGGGUAUGUCCGACGUGAAAGCCCUCGGCUCAACUGAGGAACUGCAUCGGAAACUACUUCACUUGAGUGUGAGAGAGGGUGGUGGAAUUCCCAGAGUAGAGGUGAAAUUCGUAGAUACUGGGAGGAAUACCGGAGGCGAAGGCGGCCACCUGGCUCAUUACUGACGCUGAGGCGCGAAAGCGUGGGUAGCAAACA